rnacentral:rRNA from 1 species
AGCGAACGCUGGCGGCAGGCCUAACACAUGCAAGUCGAACGAACCUUUCGGGGUUAGUGGCGGACGGGUGAGUAACACGUGGGAACGUGCCUUUAGGUUCGGAAUAACUCAGGGAAACUUGUGCUAAUACCGAAUGUGCCCUUCGGGGGAAAGAUUAAUCGCCUUUAGAGCGGCCCGCGUCUGAUUAGCUAGUUGGUUGAGGUAAUGGCUCACCAAGGCGACGAUCAGUAGCUGGUCUGAGAGGAUGAUCAGCCACAUUGGGACUGAGACACGGCCCAAACUCCUACGGGAGGCCGCAGUGGGGAAUCUUGCGCAAUGGGCGAAAGCCUGACGCAGCCAUGCCGCGUGAAUGAUGAAGGUCUUAGGAUUGUAAAAUUCUUUCACCGGGGACGAUAAUGACGGUACCCGGAGAAGCAGCCCCGGCUAACUUCGUG